GUGUAUAUAGGAGGGCCACGUGUGUGUGUUCGCCAGACCUGUCUGCUAAUACAUCACUGCAUGUUUUCCUGCUAGUUGAACCUCUUUGGAGUGUCACUUUUAUUGGAUGAGGGCGUCCCAGACACUGACGGAGACGAAGGACCAGACUUCUGCAGGACAGGACAAAGUUGAAAAGAUCUGCCUGGUCAGAGCGGCACUGAGCGCAGCUUUGACCUCACAGCUGGCAGACACUUUGGCGUAGUGCGUGACAUCGUGGCCUUGUGCAUCCACUGCGUUCAGGAGCGCCCCACGCUGGAGCAGAACCUUGAUGACAGGCACCGCAUUGGAUUCCGUGGCGAGCAUUAGAGCAGUCCUGCAACAUGGGCGCGAUUAUAAUAGGUGCUGUACACAACAUUUUUUGUUCUUGUCCUUGUUGUGUCCUCAAUUGGCCCCUGUUAUGUUUGCUGCCUACCUGCCGCUGUUGUCAGAAAUGCUGAUUUCAGCGCCGUUGUCCAGCAAAGUGCUGCACACCUCAGCAUAGCCACGUCUGGCUGCCAGAAGCAGAGGGGUGUGGCCAUCCUUUGGGGAAACAGCAAUAGUAAUAACAUUCGAUCGCUACAGAAAUAGUGCAUAACUCAAAUGGAGUGGCAUCAGGAUCUGGACUUAGACAUGAAUGGUAUGUUCAGUGACUGUGUGGUGAGAGAAAUCCCAGACACAUGUGAAAAAGCACAACGCAACAGUUAGCAAAGCUGGGACAGUGUACAGUUCCCAAUGAAUGGCCUCUGUGGGAUUUAUUGAGAGCCUGGCAGCUGCAUGAGUGUAUUUAUCUCCAGGAAUGGCAGAUCCUAACCCCACGCAGGACCUUUAACCUUACCCUCAUAUGCGCUAAAUGCACAACAAACCUCUUACUGUGAGCCAGGGGAUGUUUGAAGGUCGUGUGCCUGCCGAGAGGAGUUCAAAAGUGCCAAAUCGUGCAAAAGUGUAUUUGUGGGUUAUUCUUAAUGAUAAAGCUGCAUUCCAUUUUAGAUUAAUUCUUAAUUAUACAACAAUAUAUUAUUAUAUUAUAUCGUCCCUGGUUACAUAUUUAUUUGAGUUGAGAACUUUUUAUUUUAUGUUUUAAUACAUUCAAUUGUAAACACAAGGUUUGUAUCAUAAAUAUAAUGGAGUCCAAAGUCUGGCCCAGGGUUAUUUGCAGUCCGCAGCCUUUUGCUUUAUUGGGCUGCUGCAUAUUCCAACAAAAGGUUAAACACUUUGUGUCUCAUAAUGUUAAAAGGAGGGUCAGGGCCUCAAAAAUAAAUAAAUAAAUUAGCUUUUUCACCUACAACACAAGAUGUAGGCUGUGUGUUGCUUAACUCAUCGUGACUUAUUUGCGUAUUUAAUAAACAUAUCUGCUACAUAAAAUAUUCUAUUUACGUCGUCUUUGGGAGGAAUACAAGCAUCCAAUUACAGCUCAUCCUUGUUGUCCGACGUGUAUUUAUUUAAAGACAUGAGAAUGCCACGUGUGCACAUGCAGAUGAUGGUAGCUAGGAAUGUAAAUAACAUACACAGACAUGCACUAAAUAUCAUGCCAUCCAAUUGAAUGAAACCACAACUAUGGAAGCACCACUGCAAUAGAGACCACACGUCUGCUGCUUGAGAGUGCAGUUCUCACAGUACAUGGACCUAAAAAGUAGUGCACAUGCUAUGUAUACAGAUGCAAGCAUGUACCGAUAUUGCUCAAUCAAAGAACAAUCAUCACGAAAGCCCACUCCCUUAUAUUGAGUCUUUCUUUGUCUUUGUCUCAAUGUGAUUUAUCGCUAUGCUUUCUUUUAUUCUACUUUCCCAAACACAAAGAGGACACCGAAUACACUUCACACUUAGUUUUUGAGGUAUUUCAUUCCGUGCAAAAUAAAUAAGACGGUACGUACAGCAUCUUUAAGGUUGAUGGGGCUUUUAAAUUCACACAGAAACUGGACAGUCUGGAUCUUCCCGCCGAGAGCUGUGUAUGAAAUAAAUAAAUGAUCAGCAUUCCAAAGUUAUUGUGGAAGGAUUACACCAACCACUUUCUCUCUUUUGUUUCCUUCUUCAUAGCAGAUCAAACUUGUUAAGAGAUGAUGCAAGAGCCGUAGCACUUUCAUGAAUAACUCCGUGCUGCAGUUGAAUCACAUCUAAUCACAUAAUUCCAAAAGAUCCCGACCAUAAAAAAGGUGGGGUUACAUGUAAUCUAAAAGGCAUUUUUACAACACCCUGGUCCAGACACACCAAUACUCCAUUAGUCAAUCAAAUUAACGGUACGGUUACCGGAAGACUUACCAGCGUGAUGCAAAGCGGUCCUCCCCGAGCCGUCAACUGCAUCAACAGGACAUUUAGCCUGGAAGACCAUUAGGUAGAUUUGUAAAAAGUGUGUUUAAACAUGACAUUCACACAUGCAGCAGACUGGCAAUGGAUGUUUGUGUGUGCAUCUGUGUUACCUGAAGAAGCUUUUUGCAGCAUUCCACAUGAUUGUUCUUGGCUGCCAGAUGUAAAGGAAUCAAACCUGGAGAUAAAUCAAACAAAAUGUCCAUUUGGAUAGUUGGUUGUUACGUAUGAAGGGGGAUUUUCUAUAGUGUUGUAAUAUUAUACUGCACUGGUUUUAAUUUGACCAGUAAGUGAAGAAGAUACUAUGUACAGUACUACAUACUACCAUGUAUCGACAGUACCUGAAGCAUCAGCAACUGUAGGGUCAGUGCCAUGUGCCAGGAGGACAGAUAAACAAUCAGUCUGACCACGUGAAGCUGCUAAAUGGAGACUGGAAGACAAAGCAAAUACAUAAAAGCUGGAAUACCCUUUGUGGUAAAACUAUGGUUGACAAAAGUACAACAGAAGCUCUGGAUGAGUGUCUGUCAGUCAGCUACCCACUUCCUGGUUCAUGGAAGAUGAUGUACAUUAUUUGUUUUUAUUUUGGGUGGAAAUGAUUCACCAUUUGUAUUCUGAGGUGAGGAUGUUGUUAUGUUUAUGUUUGUUUGUUUGUCCGGUUCAGGGAGAAUGGCGUAAGAUGCAUGAUUAGACGGACUCUAUAGACUCUAUAUAUACUGUACAUUCUGUGACGGGGGGAUGGUGAAUAAAUCCCUGCAUUGGCAUUUUUAUCCAGAUUUGCACUAAAUAUCACAGGCUCUUGCCCCCAUAUGCCGUCUCUCUUACUGGCAAACCAGACAACAAAAUGACGAUCAAUGCAAUAACUCUCAGGAGACACCUCCCAAUACUGGCUAAAAAUACAGCAUCCUUUAAAAAGACAACAGUAGUGGUGCAUUAGACCACCUACCUAAUAGGGAAAAUGCCCUUGGUCUGACCGGUGCACAUCUGUUUGGGUUCAAACGGCAAUCAAUUUAAACUCUCUCUAGCUCACUGAGCAAAUUACACACAUGCAGACUCCCUUUGGUGUAGACUAGGGGUGCUCACACUUUUUCAGCCUGCAAGAUACUUUUAAAAUGACCAAGUCCCAAAUAUCUAUCUAGUAUUUAUGUUUAUAUAGGCAAGAAAUCUGGUAAAGAGACUUUUGGAAACUACAAUGACGAGGGUUCUCAAAAGGGUGAUAUGUCUCCCGGGAUUUAACUUGUUAAGUGUGGCAAAGAUAUAGAUGUAUGUGUUCAAAUUAAAGAACACAGCAGUUUGUCUUCUAUGUGGUGGAUUUAAGCCGUGGCAGCGUCAGAGAAAGUUAUGGAUGGGUUUCGCUUUUGCGUCUCAUAAUAGCGCAUAACUUUGGCACGUUCGCAGAGAAAGUUAAUUUGUAUUUGUAAAUAUAUUUCCUGUGCUUUUUAUGUUUCUUUGCACACUUUUUGCAAUUAUGAAAAUUAGAUAAUGAUAUCAUUACCACAAAUAGAUUGCAGUCCUGUGUGAAACACUGCACAUACCGCAUGUGCCCACAUUCCUUUCGAUCAGGUUUUCAUCACCAUGGAAACGCCACGACUCGCCCUUUGUGCAUCUUGAAAAGACUCGACUACCGCAUUCAGUGUGACAAAGGCUACGGGUACCUUUUAAGUAUGCAUCUGUUUUUGUGUGGAAAAAGGUCACAUAAACAAGCUAAACGAACUCGUGUGGUGAAAAGCCUCUGCGUUAUAUGACGCACUUCUCCCAGCAUUGUGAUGCUGGCUGCUCAACACAUGGAGGUCAGCAGGUGUUGUGUUGCAGGGAAGGAAAGAAAGAAAGAGGUCAUAUACUGUAUUAACACCGAGCCUGUGCGUGUUAUCACGAUCUCUAUCCGAUGUGAAGAAAUGAGGUGGCUCCGUCCAAAAUGUCAACAAAGCAUUUGCACAUUUUAUUAUUAGACCCGCUUCUUGAUGGGUUCUUUCUUGUGUUGGCAGUAGCACUGCUGAGAGCUGAGAAUCCUUACGCUGAUUUGCCCUCGCUGUCAAGCUUGAUGGCGCUGGCGCCUUUCUUGGCGACGAGCGACGCCACCUUGUCCACCUCGCCAUGCUCCACGGCCGCAAGGAGGCGCUCGUCGUUUUUGUUCCACUCGUUGACCUGUGGGAGAGCAUUUGGAGAAAAAAAAAGAGUGGAUGAACGUCGAUAUUUGACUAAAAUGUCUGCUAUCAACGGUUAACUUAUUUUCAUAUCUCUAUGACAGUUCAUUGUGGUCACAGUUUGACCCUUGAACAGAUAAACUACCUUUUCAUUAUUUCCUUUGGACAAUGAUUCUAAGCUCAACCGGUGUUACAGAACUCAUAUGUUCUACAGCACCAGAUUCAUAACACAUUCAUCCCUCAAUUAUAGUCAGAUGUUUACACACAAACUGUUCAAAAUGUCCUCCGCUGCCAAUACUUAAUGUGAGACAUGUUUCUCAGAGGGAGAGAGUUUUUCAUUGGCUUAUCCGAAGCACGCAGAGAACCUUGGUACUCAUACGUGAUGUCCAAUUAGGACACACACAUCAACGUGCGUGGACACAAUCGUUCUAUUGUUGGCACGCUGUGAAGUCAGGUAUUGGAACACUUAAAGCAUGAGCUCACCCUGAGAGAACCCUGGAGUGCUUCCUGCAGUGCUUGGAGGGAAUAACGGUGAUCCCUAACAUGUCAAAAUGUAGGAUUACAUUUGGCAAUCACCAAAAAACAAAAUGAGGACAUGGCUGCAUUGACUUCUUGCAUGCAACUGUGCAUAUUAGAAUACAGCCGAGGUUUAAAUCUGACCCGAUAGCCUAGUGACCUGACUAUUAUAAUGUUGUGAACCCUUUGACUCCAUAAAUUGUGCUGGCAAACUGUCGACUGUGUUGGGAAUGCAGUAUGCCGACAUAGAAAUAGACGACCAGUGAAAAUAGCCUGAGUGGCAAGGGCCCAAAUGUAAUCACCGGGGAUACAUUUUGCACAGCGGGUGGAAAAUUGGCAGUAAAACCCCCUCGACUGUCGUUGAAAGAGAUAGAAUGACAACCCAGCGCUGUAUAACAGACCACAGUGUCAGCGCCAGCCAGCGAAGAAAUGAAAACGUUGAAAAAAAAAAUGUAGGAAAUGCUGACUUGGUCCUUGUCGGCCGUCUUGUUGUGGAAAGUCAAUCCAUUAUCUAAGUUUACAAACACACACGCACGGCUUAAAAGCAGUAAGACACUGUUUCCAAGGAAGUGUAAGAUGAGCCACAGUGAAAAUAACAGACUUUAUAUUAAGACACUGACAAGGGUCACGGAGACAAGAUAUAUUGCUAGCAGGUGUUCCACCAGGUGUGAUGGGCACGCUAUCGCCAAUACCUGCAUAACUUAUUACAAUGGACGCCUCAUGGUCACAUUUAGAGAAGCUAUUCCCAUAGGAAACAAUGGAAAUAGAAAGAAUCUGUUCCCAAGUGAAACUGUCACCAUCGUAAAACCUACGUGAACACACCUGACACCUGUCCAGCCUGUUGUUCUGUGUGCUGUUGUAUAGUUGAAUAACUUGCCUUUCAAGAUUAAAUGUCUGUUGUUGAUCGUGAAUUUUGUGAAAUUUCUAAAUAAAUGUGACUUAUGUAGGGCCGUAUUUAAUCAAUUUUAUUUUUUUCUCAAAUUCUGUUUGAUUAUUUUCCAAAUUCAGUUUUUUUUUAAUUUUGUUUAAAUUCAGUUUUACACUUAUUUUA